rnacentral:rRNA from 1 species
GACGAACGCUGGCGGCGUGCCUAAUACAUGCAAGUCGAACGCAGUGGGGACGGGUGAGUAACACGUGGGUAACCUCCCAUCAGAGGGGAUAACACUUGGACACAGGUGCUAAACCGAUACUGAUGGAUGGACCCGCUGUGCAUUAGCUAGUUGGUGAGGUAACGGCUAACCAAGGCCACGAUGCAUAGCGGACUUGAGAGGGUGAUAGGACACAAUGGGACUGAGACACUGUCUAGAGUCAUGAGGGAGGCAGCAGUAGGGAAUCUUCGGCAAUGGAAGAAAGUCCGACCGAGCAAAGCCGCGUGAGUGAAGAAGGUUUUCUGAUCGUAAUUCUCGGUUGUUAUAGAAGCGGUAUCUAACCAGAAAGCCACGGCUAACUACGUGCCAGCUGCCGCGGUAAUAC